GAUGAACGCUGGCGGCGUGCCUAAUACAUGCAAGUCGAGCGAACAGACGAGGCGCUUGCUCCUCUGACGUUAGCGGCGGACGGGUGAGUAACACGUGUAUAACCCACUUAUAUGACUGGGAUAUCUACGGAAAACCGGCGCUAAUACCGGAUAAUAUAUUGAACCGCAGUGUUCAAUGGUGAAAUACGGUUUUUGUGUCACUUAUAGCUGGUUCCGCGCCGCAUUAGCUAGUUGGUAAGGUAACGGCUUAUCAAGGCGACGAUGCGUAGCCGAGGUGAGAGGGUGGUCGGCCACACUGGAGCGGGGACAGGGCCCAGAGUCCUAAGGGAGGCAGCAGAAGGGAAUCUUCGGCAAUGGGCGAAAGCCUUACGGAGCAGCGCGGCGUGAGUGAUGAAGGUCUUCGGAGCGUAAUACUCGGUUAUGAGGUAAGAACAAAUGUGGAAGUAAAUAUGCACGGCGUGACGGUAACUAGUCAGAAAGCCACGGCUAACUACGUG
rnacentral:rRNA from 1 species